AUGAAAAGAGACUUGAUGGACACUGGAGGUGCCACUCAUGCCUCUUCUCUCUCCAAGUUUGCCUUUGGGAUGCGCAAAAAUGGCUUUCAGAGUCCAGACAUCACAAGGCCGGAUGAUUCACCAACAAAAAAAGCGAUUCAGGCGAGCUCAAGCCCUGCAUCUCCCCUCGACUGGCCUGGCACGCCAACUCAACCGCUCAAGAAGAUGAAAGGUGGGCUUCUGGAGCAGAUCAAAGAGGUUCGCCUGAUGCUUGCUGCAGAAGACAAGAGGAUGUUGACUGAUGCUUGCUGCAAUGGCUCUGCUCCUUAG
rnacentral:rRNA from 1 species